GAGUUUGAAAUUCUUGCUUCAGGCCAUAUGGAGUGGAUAUUCCUUCCAGAAGGAAAUUACAGACCACUCUCUGUUUCUACUCAACUGCUUUUCACUCCAGGAUGCUUCACCUCUUGGGGCCUUCCCCAGCAGAGGCCCAGGAUCACCUGCAAAAGGCUUCCCCAAGGGUGGGGCCAGAAGCAGGGCUGCAGAUAUGUGUCCUGAACCUCCCAUGGACCCUGCUGGCUCCCUUCAAAGGCUUCGGGCAUAGCGACUUGCCUUUCCGUCUUGUUCAGUCGUCACCAGUCAGCCGUCUGCAGACUUCUCUCCCUCACGUUGUGGCAGAGGAGUUGUACAUUCUCUAGAUUUUAAAAAUAUAUAAGUUACUUUUUCUUUAAAAUAAAAAUUGUCUCUGAAAUAA